UACGAAGGGAGCUAGCGUUGUUCGGAAUCACUGGGCGUAAAGCGCACGUAGGCGGACGUGUCAGUCAGGGGUGAAAUCCCGGAGCUCAACUUCGGAACUGCCUUUGAUACAGCACGUCUUGAGUCCGGAAGAGGUGGGUGGAAUUCCUAGUGUAGAGGUGAAAUUCGUAGAUAUUAGGAAGAACACCGGUGGCGAAGGCGGCCCACUGGUCCGGUACUGACGCUGAGGUGCGAAAGCGUGGUGAGCAAACAGG
rnacentral:rRNA from 1 species